UACAGGGGGGGCAAGCGUUGUUCGGAAUUACUGGGCGUAAAGCGUGCGCAGGCGGUUUUGUAAGUCUGUCGUGAAAGCCCCGGGCUCAACCUGGGAAUUGCGAUGGAGACUGCAAGGCUUGAAUCUGGCAGAGGGGGGGUAGAAUUCCACGUGUAGCAGUGAAAUGCGUAGAGAUGUGGAGGAACACCGAUGGCGAAGGCAGCCCCCUGGGUCAAGAUUGACGCUCAUGCACGAAAGCGUGGGGAGCAAACAGG
rnacentral:rRNA from 1 species